GGGAAAACCUCAGGGAGAACCACCGCGUGAGAGGGGAAGAUCUUUGUAUUGUAAACCUCUUUUCUCAAAGAAAAAAUUCUGACGGUACCUGAGGAAUAAGCCUCGGCUAACUCCGUGCCAGCAGCCGCGGUAAUACGGAGGAGGCAAGCGUUAUCCGGAAUUAUUGGGCGUAAAGCGUCCGUAGGUGGUUUGAUAAGUCUGCUGUCAAAUCAGGAUGCUUAACCUCCUAAAGGCAGUGGAAACUGUCAGACUAGAGAGCAGUAGGGGAGCAGGAAUUCCCAGUGUAGCGGUGAAAUGCGUAGAUUCUGGAAGAACACCAGUGGCGAAAGCGUCCUGCUGGGCUGUAUCUGAC
rnacentral:rRNA from 1 species